CUUCACUUCUUCCCCGGAGUUCUUGUGCUUUCUCGUCUCGCAGGUUCUCAUGGAUCCUGGUGGAGCCUGCUGCCAUGGUCCUGCUUGACUGCCAUUGAUAAUAUAACUGAUAUUAUUGUUAUUAUUAUUAUUAUUAUUAUUAUUAUUAGUAUAAUUAUUGCUACAGUUACUGUUGUUGCUCUUGUCGCUGCUCGUUGUCUCCCAUCGUUGCUGUUGUCGUCGUCGUCGUCUUCUUCAUGUUCAUCAUCAUCAGUCACCACUAUUAGUGUAGUUGUUGUUUUUCUUGUAUUAUUAUUGCAUUAUUCUUGUUUUAUUACAACUUUAUUCUCGUAAUAUUAUGACUUUAUUCUCGUACCCCCCCCCCCCAUCCCUUGUUUUAACUUAAAAGAAAUGUGCUAAAAGUUAAAAUAUUCGAUUCCUCCUUUUACUGGGGACCCCCUACAACCCACUCAAAGGUCCCUAGUUUGAAAACCACUGGUGUAGUAACUCUAAAGACAAACAAAAAUUUAAACAAAAUCCAUAAUUUCAGCUCUUAUCUACAGUAGUCUUAUAGUAAAAUUACAAUAUCAAAUAAAACAAACUUCCAUCCAAACCAAAGUUUUUUUUGCAUUGAAUAGUAUAGUAAAAGUUAAUUAAUGUGCAUUAUUUAUUACCUGUUCAGGCCUCAACAAGGUUUCUCAGAUACUUCUGCAGUGUGAGUCAGGUGAGAGGCAGAUGAGGAGAGUGUGUCAGCAGAGGAUGUGGUGACACUGUCAAGUCUGCAGGUAACAGUACUUUUAUACAUUAGGUCAUGUGAGGAAUCCUGCAGACAGGAGUAUAAUUAUUCUCAGAUAGGAGGUAGGUCUUGAAAUUCUAAACAUGAUGCCAUGGAUGCUUAAAAACAUGAACCACACCUGUUGAAGGAAAUAGAGCUGCAUAAAUGACACCUUCCUGUAAACAUGUUCAGAAAUUCCGAAAAAUUAAGAUUUAAAGCAGGAGUUGUUGUAACUGAUCUUUAGAGCCACACCUCUACAGGAG
rnacentral:lncRNA from 15 species